rnacentral:rRNA from 1 species
AACGCGAAGAACCUUACCAGCCCUUGACAUCCCGGUCGCGGACUCCAGAGACGGAGUCCUUCAGUUCGGCUGGACCGGAGACAGGUGCUGCAUGGCUGUCGUCAGCUCGUGUCGUGAGAUGUUGGGUUAAGUCCCGCAACGAGCGCAACCCCCGUCCUUAGUUGCUACCAUUUAGUUGAGCACUCUAAGGAGACUGCCGGUGAUAAGCCGCGAGGAAGGUGGGGAUGACGUCAAGUCCUCAUGGCCCUUACGGGCUGGGCUACACACGUGCUACAAUGGCGGUGACAAUGGGACGCUAAGGGGCAACCCUUCGCAAAUCUCAAAAAGCCGUCUCAGUUCGGAUUGGGCUCUGCAACUCGAGCCCAUGAAGUUGGAAUCGCUAGUAAUCGUGGAUCAGCACGCCACGGUGAAUACGUUCCCGGGCCUUGUA